CCAAUCAAACUUCGUGAUAGCUGGUUCUCUCCGAAAUGCAUUUAGGUGCAGCGUUACGUGUUUCUUACUGGAGGUAGAGCUACUGGAUGGCCGAGGGGACCUACAAGUUUACCAACGUCAGCCAAACUCCGAAUGCCAGUAAGUGAGAACGUAGCAGUGAGACAGUGGGGGAUAAGCUUCAUUGUCGAGAGGGAAACAACCCAGAACAGCAACUAAGGUCCCAAAGCGUGUGCUAAGUGGAAAAGGAUGUGAAGUCGCAUAGACAACCAGGAUGUUGGCUUAGAAGCAGCCACCAUUAAAAGAGUGCGUAAUAGCUCACUGGUCAAGUGAUUUCGCGCCGACAAUGUAACGGGGCUCAAGCACGCCACCGAAGUUCUGUCAUUCACACAUGUUCCAGGUCGCAAGAUCCAGGAGUGUGGAUGGGUAGGAGAGCGUCGUGCAACUAGUGAAGCGGUGGAGGAAUCCAACCGUGGAAGUUGCACGAGUGAGAAUGUAGACAUGAGUAGCGAAAGACGGGUGAGAAACCCGUCCGCCGAAUGACCAAGGGUUCCUGGGCCAGGCUAAUCCGCCCAGGGUAAGUCGGGACCUAAGACGAGGCCGUCAGGCGUAGUCGAUGGACAACUGGUUGAUAUUCCAGUACCCGCUAAGAGCGCCCAGAACGAGCCCGCUAAUGCUAAGUGCCUGAAGUUUGCUUGGGGUAAAACCUAAAGUGGAUGGAGCGCGCGACCCAAGGCGAUAGUAGUUCAGCAAUGGUGUGACACAGGAAGGUAGUUCAGCCCAGGCGAUGGUUGACCUGGGGUAAGAGUGUAGGAAGUAGCGUAGGUAAAGCCGCGCUACACAUUUCUGAGACUUGAUGCCGAGCCGUAUGGCGAAGUGAAUGAUCCUAUGCUGUCAAGAAAAACAUCUAGCGAGCUCAACAGCGGCCCGUACCCGAAACCGACACAGGUGGUCAGGUAGAGAAUACCAAGGCGAUCGAGAGAAUCGUGGUGAAGGAACUCGGCAAAUUACCCCCGUAACUUCGGGAUAAGGGGGGCCAAUUUACGUGUAGGGAUUUACUCCCGAAGCGCGAGUUGGCCGCAGAGACUAGGCUCAAGCGACUGUUUACCAAAAACACAGGUCCGUGCUAAUUCGUAAGAAGACGUAUACGGACUGACGCCUGCCCGGUGCUGGAAGGUUAAGGGGACUGGUUAGCCGCAAGGCGAAGCUGAGAACUUAAGCCCCAGUAAACGGCGGUGGUAACUAUAACCAUCCUAAGGUAGCGAAAUUCCUUGUCGGGUAAGUUCCGACCUGCACGAAUGGCGUAACGACUUCC
rnacentral:rRNA from 1 species